AUUUAUCUCAGGCAAGACCUCGAAUAUUUUCCUAACUGCUACCAACUCAGGCACUGCAUAGGACGAUGAUACAGAGGAUCGGCAACAGGAUCCUAACCUUCUUCUGCAAGCACUGUCUACCCCCUUAGAAGAUGGGCUGUGCCACACAUUAAUGCAUGCAGACGAAUGAGCACCGGAGUAACCUGGUCUGGCUAGUUGAAACCAGUCCAGCUGUGGCCUAAGGUUACAUCCAGAUGGACUAAUGCAAGUGAGAAGAGAUACGCAGAGGACAGUGAUGCUGUAACUUGUUUGAUUACGAUCCUUCUUCAUGGUUGCACUGAAUGUCAACUUGUGAUCUGCCGACUUCAGAGAGGUGAUGAUUCAGGUAUGGAGCUUGAUGCUCAGGCUAUUUCUGUGCAUUAGAGUGAUAGAUGUACCUUUGCAGAAAGAAACUCUUCUUCAUCCAACCCUCAUCCAGAAGACCUGUCACUCUCUUCCAAAUAUAAGACUUGUAGCCAUAGCACGAGAGGAUACCACCCGGUGUUUCCCUUCCAGAACAGUUCCUAAAGUCUCAUUUUGCCAUUCUGGGACAUCGUUGUUCAGUGUGGAAAGAAAGAAAAAAGGCACGAAUUACAGAGAAACCUUCCAUCCUUUCUGUAUUUUGUCCCAUUUUGUUCUGUUUUUCUACUUCCCUUUCUUUCUUAUGUCUAUUCUUGCCUUCUAUUUGAUCCUGUGAUUUCACAAAGGCAGAAAAGGCAAGAGAAAAUAAUCAAGUGUCUUCUGCCACCAUUGCUGUGAAAACAUUGUCUGCAGGAGAGAAAGGGGAAAAUGUACCUGCAAAGGAAUUUAUUUGUAGAAUAUUUUUCCUGUAUGGAAUCUUUCUUCUACCUCAGACAACAAAAAUAUUUACCCAUAAAAGUAACAGCUGUCCAGCCGAGGGUUAUGGAGCCCCACAUCAAAAGGUUUUAAGGAGAGAGGGGACAUUUUUUUUCUUGGAGCUAUUCAACUCACUGAAAUAGGCCAGCUCAUUGUGACUAGAUAAACUGAAGCACUUGCAGAUUUACAGAUCUUUUACUAAAAUCACUUUCCCAAGCACAAGCUAACAUCAAGGCAUCAUGUUUUCAAACUCGUUCCAGUAUCAAAGUGUUUCCCAACAUGACUAUUAUGCUGUUUUCCAGAUGGGAUGGAGUUCUGUGAAAUCUCUGUUCUUUUUAUGCUGCUAAUCUUGCCUCAUGACUCAGAGACUGAAAGCCCUAAAUACUGUUGUUAAUCCACUGCAGUCUCUUUUCAGUCUUAGAAGUGCCUUUCCUCUAAUGAAACAAGUUAUAUGCUUUGCAGAAGAGAUCCCAUGAUUAUUUUUGCUUCUAAGCCUUCACUUGCAUAAUAGAAAAGGAGUUAGAUAUGCAGAGUUUGGGUAAGCAAAGUCCCUCCCAGCAAAGAUCAGAUUCAUGACCACCUGAGGAACUUGAACACCUACAAGUCUGUGGGUCCUGCUUAGAUGCAUUCCAGAGUCCUGAGGGAAUUAGCUGAUGCAGUUGCCAAGCCACUCUCGAUUAUAUUCAAAAACUUGUGGUGAUCAGGUGAAGUCACUGGUGACUGGAAAAAAGGCAACAUUACACUUAUUUUCAAGAAGACUAAAAAGGAUGACCCCAAGAACUACCGACCGGUCAGUCUCUCCUCUGUGCCAGGGAAGAUAACGGAGCAGAUCCUCCUGGAAGCUAUGCCAGGGCAAAUCCUGCUUGACCAACCUAGUGGCCUUUUCUGAUGGUGUAACUGCAUCAGUAGACAAGGGAAGCACCACUAUUAUCAUCUAUCUGGAUUUCAGUAAAGCCUUUGACAUGGUACCCAGGGAUUCCCUGUCCCUGGAGACUUUCAAGACGAGACUGAACCAGGCUCUGGGCAACCUGACCUAGCUGUGGUGUUCCUGUUC
ensembl:lncRNA